rnacentral:lncRNA from 1 species
UAUCAUGUAUAAACAGAAAUAACGUUGGAUUACAAAUGUACCUUCAACCUGAAGGAGAUGAAAGUACAAGCGUGACGCAAAAGCGAAUGCCCAAUCAGCGUGAACAGUACGGGGGUACUGUUCACCUAUUUAUAGACACAGGACACAGCCCAUACAAAAUUACAUUUAUGCCCUUUACAUUUGAUAAUAAUUCUAUAGUAAUCUAUCGAGGUCUGAAUAGCCUUUUCAUCUUUAAGUCGGUUUCAUUUUUUUGCUAUCACGCCGAAGCUUUCCUGCUCACACCUUCGGCGCUGCACCAACCUUCGUAUUAUUCUGGUCUGCUGUGAUACCGACUUGAGUCCGAAGAUACCUGUUCACACAUUAUACUCCAGAAACACUGUCAAAUCCUGUUUUUGAGGACCUUCGUAAGCCGAAGGCCCCCAACAGUAGCCCCUCGCAAUAUUAAUUUGUUUAAAAUAAUAAAUUUAGAUUGCGACAUGGACGAAGGCUUUACGCCGAAGGUCCGAAAAAACACCUUCCCUUUGCUAGAAUAGCAACAUUCUCUGACAAGUGGGGCCUUUCAAUUUUCAACGCACUGGGCGUAUAAAUACAGUCAUACCGCAAACUCAUUUGGCACGCUCUCUUGCCAUCUGCUCCCGCUCACUCAAUUUUUAGCUCUUGCGCACUAAAAUUUGCUGAGCGUUUAGUUUUAAAGCUUCAGCUUUGAAAACAGUUUUUUUAGCGUUUCCGAAGAUGUCUGAAGAGAAGAAAGCUGCUGCUGAGAUGAAGCUGAGUCUCGACGAAGAGAAGAACUUGGGGUUUCUUAUAGCGAUGUCGAAGACGAAUACAGAAAAAAUCACCAAUGAGAUUCUGGAAGGUUUGUCUGAAGAUACUGGUGACAGCGACAGUUAUGAUGUGGACAGUGGUGGUGAAGAUUCCGAAGAUCGCCCUUGGCGACCAAGCCAUGCGGUUUUCGGCAAAUCAAUGAUCAAAGAAAAUCAUCUUGUUAACAUGAGAGGAAGGUAUUUCCGGGAUUUGUCCAUUGUGAGGGCCGACGAAGGGGAAAAAACUUGUCCACACCCUGAAGAGAAUGAAGUCGUAGUGUACCGAAGCUUUUUGAAAGCUGGACUACGAUUUCCCCUGAGCGAGUUUGUUGUAGAUGUGCUGAAAAUAUUCGAAGUCUAUCUUCACCAACUUACCCCUGAGGCAAUCAUAAGGCUGAAUAUCUUCGUGUGGGCCGUGAGAAGCCAAGGUCUGAAGCCUGAUGCAAAAAGUUUCUGCAAUAUACACGAAUUAUCAUACGAAACAAAACCUUGGGGUAAAGAACAGUACCAUAAUAAUUUUGGCUGCUACAGUUUCGUUUCUCGAUCCGGGUCAAGUUGCCCCGUGCCAACUUUUCGGAAGAGGUGGCCCGGCGACUGGAUGACAGAAUGGUUUUAUGUGAAGAAUGACCUGACAGUACGAGAAGAUAUCAAAGGUAUAAUUAUGCGCCCUAUCUGGCAAAGCUUCGGCCUUCGGAGGCCGAAGGUUGAAAUGAAUGAAGCUGCCAAAGAAUGCCAGAGAGCCUUCGGCGUUAUCUGUUCUUUUAUUGGAACUAGAGAUUUAGUACAAGAGCAUAUUGCCUUCAGGGUAUGGCCGCUCGCGGAGAAAUGGGAAAUGCCGCAAGAAACCAUAAAAGAGGCCGACGAAGGUGGACUUAUCAGGCUGAAGUACACUUUUAAGUUCAGAGAUAAAUUCGUUGAGCCAGAUGAUGACUGGUUAAAAAGCAUUGAAAAUUUAAGUGAUAAACUGCUUGGGGCUUAUUCGAAGGCCGAAGAUACUGCACUGUCAGCAGCCUUCGGAGGUCGAAAAAAGAAGAGGCUGAAUCGGGUGUUUGAUGCAAUCGGGUUCGUCUACCCUGACUAUCGUUACCCCAUUCGAGGGCAGAAGAGAAAAAACACAACCUCUGCAAAAGAAGAAGCUGCAACUGCUCCUAGCGAGGCAGAACCGAAAAGAAAAAGGAUAAAGGUCCUCACACAUCGGCCGCGCUAUAUUGAACCAGCUUCGGUGCCCGAGUUCACCGGAGGAAUUUCUUCGGCCACCGAGGCUGAAAAGCCAAUCAAAUCAACCUUGCUGCCAGAAAUUGCAGAAAUGGCCGAAGCGCCAACAAGGAUAGAAUUGAAAGAACCGAAGAUUUUGCUACCAGAAACCAAAGAGAUGGCCGAAGCGCCAUCCACAGAAAAAAAUGGAAGAAGUGAAAAAACCAACUGCAGAAAAAAUAUCAGAAGUUUUGAGUCCUGCAGCAAAUAUUGAGACAGUAAAAAAUCAAAAAGUGCCAGCAGUGACUCCGAAAAGAAAGAGAAUGGCAAAUGUGCUAGAUGUACUGGAAACAAUUAAAUCUUCAAGCACACCUCCGAAGAAAACUACUGCCAUUCCCGAAGCGAAAACUGAAAUUUCUGAUACUAAAGCUCCAGAGCAAGAAACUGAAGCCGAAGCUGGUUCCUCAGGGCCCGCGAAGAUAAAAUCCUUGGAAACUGAGGAAAAAGAAAUAACAGAGCCAAUUUUUGUUGAAGAAAUCGGUGUCAUUGCCCCCGAAGCAUCCUCCAAAGUUCGUGAUUAUAUUGUUCGUCAUGCUUCGGGGAAAAAACUAUCAGAAAAAGAAGAGCAAGAGGCCCAGCGCUAUGCCCAAAAACUGAAGUAUCCAAAGGGGGCGUUAAUAUUCAAUGGCAGUGGAGAAGAAGACUUUUUGUAUUGUCUCCCUGACAGCAAGGAGAUUUCUGUCUGUCGGGAGAUGAGCAAAAGCUUCGGAUUCCCAACACUAGAAGACGGGCUCUCGGUGCUGUCGAAGAACGAUCUGGCCGACAGCCUGGCAUAUAAUAGCUUAAAGGUGCAACAAAUGGGAUCUUUAUAUUUUUUGUUGUGACCAAAAUUUUUCAUUUACUUAAAUCUAUUGACGCACACAUAUUUCUCUUUUGCAGGGCCUGAUACUUAGCAAUGCCCUCAGGGCACAGAAAGAUGCUGAAGACGAAGGGUGCGCUAUAGCCCUGAGCAACCUUCGUUCCGAAGUAAUUGAACUGAGGAACGAAGGUCUUGAAAAAGAUAAAAUAUUACACUCAUUGAUAAAUAAAAUAAAGGAAGACGAAGCUGCCUUUAAAGGUCAAGCUGAGGCUCAGAAGCGCGAGAUUGAAGAUCUUCGGAAACAACUGGCCAGAGUCAAGGAAGAACGCAUACUUGAAGAAACUAAGCGAGAACUCAGCGAUCAAUGGGCAGAUCACCUAGAAGGAACUGUUGAAGAGCUUCGUUCGUCCAAGAAGAAAUGCUAUAACAAAUCUAUAGAGUGUGUUAAAAAGUUAAAAGCUAGCUUCGCCAGAGUCGGCGCAUUCUCAAGCGAAGAAAACUUCACAAGAGGCAAUCCCGAAGAUCCCAUCGAAUGGAUCGACCACGAAGCUGAGGCCUUCGAGGAAAUUUUAAAUAGCCGUGGAGAUAUAUGUGCUUUCUCGGGUGCCAGAGGAAUUGCCACCAUUUUAGAGAAAAAGGGCUGCGAACAUGUAAAAAUUUUAGCACAAUCCGAAGCUGCUUUGUCCUUUGAAGAUGCAAGAGAUCCUUCGGCAGAAGCUAGCAUGGUUGGUGGAAAAUUUUUCACUGAUAUCUGGGAUAAUGGUGGCCGAGAAAUGGCCGGAGAAAUUAUUCGAAAAAGUGAAAAGGGCAUUCAUGAUGCUAGAGAAGUGGCUGAGGCUGCUGAAAAAAGCGCAGAGCCCGAAGGGCAAAUAGGUAUCAACUGAUGGUUUUAUUGUGUUGUAAUUUUCGAUUUUAAACUUCGUUCGCAAUUUGUAAUAGCAAUGUAGCCGUAUCCUGUCCUCCUUCAGAUCCUACCAAAGCGUCUUCGGGGCCUCCCCCGAAAGGAGACGACGAAAUUAAAGAGAUGGCUGAAGCUAUCAUGGAUGAAGUUGUUAAUCGGCUCCUAAACGAGGCUGCAGAAGUCGUUUUGAGAGAAGAUUAAGUAUUAUUGUAAAAACCUCUGAAAUGUAAUAUAUUGUAACAUUUUGUAACCCUGAAUGUAAUAUACCUGUUUUUGUUGUUCAAUUCUUUACGAUGCAUGAAAUUUUACACGUACCGUUUUUGAGUCUUUGACGAAAAAACACCUUCCCUUCUUUUCAUGCUUCGUGAAGAAGAAUUCUUCUUUGUCACAACAAUAUCCAGUGUUCUGAUGAAUAAUAUCCAGGCUUCGUGAAGAUAUUUUCCGAAGCUACACUUCCGAAGAUUAAUAAUGGGUCUCCUUGUGACAUCAUGAUUCUUCCUUUUUUCAAAACGUCCCUCUGUAGAUCGAUAUUGUAUCCACCUCUUGUGCCAUAUGCAACAUGAUGUAUGAUGCUUAUGCUAUGCAAAAUGAUGCGAUGAUGUUAUGUUAUGUGAGGUGAUGUUUAUUCCGAAGAUACAUACGCAUCCCUGCAAUAAAACACAAUCUUUUAUAAGCCUCCCUUAGGAGCUUCUUCGCCUUUUACUUCAGCGGAAUCAGCGUUUAUUUUUCGCUGUAAGCCUCCCUUAGGAGCUUCUUCGCCUUUUACUUUCAGCGGUAUUCGCGUUGACUUUUCGCGCUUCGCCUUUUACUUCGGCGGUAUCAGCGUUGACUUUUCGUUGUAUGCUCUGCAUUCCCUUUGGAACGACUUUGGAGCAGAAAACUUACUCUGCACUCCUUCUGGAGCGGCUUUUUGUGACUUCGGCAAACUUACUCUGCGUUCCUUAGAACGACUUUUUGUUGCUUCGAAGAAUUUUCGAUGAUGUGAAGGUUCUCUUUGUUAUCACAAAUGUUUAAACUUCAACAACUUAGGCCUGUGAAGAAAAUAUAUUUUCCUUGUGGCAAAACAACGAAACUUCUUACAUGAAAUCUAAACAAUGUUCUUUAUUACACAGAAAAUAAGACUGAAUAAGAAAGACUGCUAUUAAGGUAGGAUAUUUGUCAAUAGAUGUGCUUUGACUCUGGCACAGUGCUGUUGACUGUACGAGCUUCGGACUGCUCUCUGAAGUCCCUUUGGUGUGGAGCAUACUGGCUCCCUUCUGGCUGCUGGCCUUGUUGCAGCGGAGGUGGGGGCGGAGGCUGUUGCCAGGAAGCUUGGGGUUGACUCGCCGAAGCAACAGAAACUGCAGGGUGGUUGCCCACAUAUUCUGGGAUGUAAGGCGAAUGAUACGAAGCAGUAUGCAUGACCUGCUUCGGCUGAGCUUGUUGUGCUGCAGCUUCGGCUAUUUCCUUUUGCUUUUGGAUGGUAACAUGGCACAUCCUGGUGGUAUGGCCUUUGUUCUCACCGCAAAACAAGCAAAAGAUUCUUCUUGGUUGAUCUCCGAAUCUUCCGCCGAAGCCCCUGGCGCCUCUACCUCUUGGGGCUGGUGGUCGGAAGGAGCCUUGCUGUUGCCCUGAAGUUUGUGAGGAACACUGUGGCCUUUGCUGUUGGCUCCCUCGAUCAUCAUUUUGGGUAGAGUUAUGAAUUGAUCUAACGUGCCUUGGAUAGAACCUUCCUCCGAAGCCCCUGGUCAUUUCAGAAAACCUGAAAGCCUCCUCCCUUCUUUGGCGAAAAUCAUUAUCGGCCCGAAUGUACUCGUCCAUCUUUUGGAGCAGCUUCUCCAAAGUUUGAGGAGGCUUCCUAGCGAAGUACUGAGCUGACGGUCCUGGCCGAAGCCCCUUGAUCAUGGCCUCAAUGACAAUUUCAUUGGGCACCGUUGGUGCCUGUGCCCUCAAACGCAAGAACCUCCGGACGUACGCCUGAAGGUAUUCUUCGUGAUCCUGGGUGCACUGGAAUAAAGCUUGAGCAGUAACCGGCUUCGUCUGAAACCCUUGAAAGCUAGUUAACAACAAGUCCUUCAGCUUCUGCCAUGAAGUAAUCGUUCCUGGUCGAAGGGAGGAAUACCAGGUUUGAGCAACACUCCUGACAGCCAUGACAAAAGAUUUGGCCAUGACUGCAGCAUUGCCACCAUACGAAGAUACUGUUGCUUCGUAGCUCAUCAAAAACUGCUUCGGGUCUGAGUGGCCAUCGAAUACGGGAAGCUGAGGCGGCUUGUAGGACGGAGGCCAAGGUGUAGCCUGCAGCUCAGCGGACAGAGGAGAAGCAUCAUCGAAAACAAAAUUCCCAUGAUGGAAAUUAUCAUACCAGUCAUCUUCGUUGAGGAAACCCUCCUGAUGAAGGUCUUGGUGCUGAGGCCUUCGGUGCUGCUCAUUCUGAGUAAGAUGACGAACUUCUUCAGAGGCUUCGUCUAUCUGCCUUUGCAGUUCAGCUAGCCUGGCCAUCUUUUCUUUCUUCCUCUGCACCUGUUGAUGAAGCAUCUCCAUGUCUCUGAUUUCUUGAUCUAUCUCGUCCUUUGGUGGUGUCGGGCUGACAGCCUUCCUUUUCUGGCUUCGUGCUUCCCGAAGGGAGACUGUCUCCUGAUUGUGGUCCAGCGGUUGCAGAGCUGCAGUCCCAGUCGCUGAAGCCUUCUUCGGCGCCAUAGCGAAGGUUUAUGAUCGCCGAAGGUGUUCAAAAAACUCAAAGAAUGGAAGUGAGUUCACCGGAGGUGGGCGCCAAUGUUGGUGACUUGCUCUCAAAUGCUAUGAGUUAAGAACAAGGCAACAUAGAAAAUGUUAAUCGGUAAAAUCCUUCGUCCUUCGAAGCAUUAUUCCCCUUAGGAUAUAAUGGUUUUCGGACGAAGGUUAUGAAGGGCGUACCUUCAUAAAUACAUUAUACAAAAACGAAGGAUGAAUCAUAAGGAAUAUAAAGGACAACAUAGACAAUUAUAUGUUACUAUCAUGUAUAAACAGAAAUAACGUUGGAUUACAAAUGUACCUUCAACCUGAAGGAGAUGAAAGUACAAGCGUGACGCAAAAGCGAAUGCCCAAUCAGCGUGAACAGUACGGGGGUACUGUUCACCUAUUUAUAGACACAGGACACAGCCCAUACAAAAUUACAUUUAUGCCCUUUACAUUUGAUAAUAAUUCUAUAGUAAUCUAUCGAGGUCUGAAUAGCCUUUUCAUCUUUAAGUCGGUUUCAUUUUUU